rnacentral:rRNA from 1 species
GAUGAACGCUGGCGGCGUGCCUAAUACAUGCAAGUCGAGCGAACAGAUGAGGAGCUUGCUCCUCUGACGUUAGCGGCGGACGGGUGAGUAACACGUGGAUAACCUACCUAUAAGACUGGGAUAACUUCGGGAAACCGGAGCUAAUACCGGAUAAUAUAUUGAACCGCAUGGUUCAAUAGUGAAAGACGGUUUUGCUGUCACUUAUAGAUGGAUCCGCGCCGCAUUAGUUAGUUGGUAAGGUAACGGCUUACCAAGGCAACGAUGCUUAGCCGACCUGAGAGGGUGAUUGGAUACACGGGAAGUGAGAAACGGCCCAGACUCCUAGGGGAGGAAGCAGUAGGGAAUCUUCCGCAAUGCGCGAAAGCCUGACGGAGCAACGCCGCGUGAGUGAUGAAGGUCUUCGGCUCGUAAAACUCUGUUGUUAGGGAAGAACAAAUGUGCAAGUAACUGUGCACGUCUUGACGGUACCUAAUCAGAAAGCCACGGCUAACUACGUG